rnacentral:tRNA from 3 species
GCGAGUGUAGUUUAAUGGUAGAACAUCAGCCUUCCAAGCUGAAUACGUGGGUUCGAUUCCCAUCACUUGCACCA